rnacentral:rRNA from 1 species
UGUUGGGUUAAGUCCCGUAACGAGCGCAACCCUUGUCCUUAGUUGCCAGCACGUAAUGGUGGGAACUCUAGGGAGACUGCCGGUGACAAACCGGAGGAAGGUGGGGANGACGUCAAGUCAUCAUGGCCUUACGGCCUGGGCUACANANGUGCUACAAUGGAACGCACAGAGGGCUGNAAAAGCGCGAGCUAGAGCGAAUCCCAUAAAANGUUUCGUAGUCCGGAUUGGAGUCUGCAACUCGACUCCANGAAGUCGGAAUCGCUAGUAAUCGUGGAUCAGAAUGC